AUGGCUGAUCCUUCACUCAGGUCAUUAUCUGAAAGCGACAUUCCUGAAAAUUACUGUUCCGACUUUGUGGAGCGAUUUGAAGCGGAAACAAGACCGACAAGAAUGUAUUGGAAAGUUAUCGAAGCAACAGACAGUUUGUGGUCUUUCGAAUUUUUGGAUGGCCAACUGAGAUUAACCAUUCAUUUCAAACCAGCCGCUGCCAACUGCUUAGCUCCUGUUAAAGAAAUUGCAUUUGAUUCUGUCAAGCCUGAUGCUGAGCCUAAACAGGUUAUAGGACAGAACAUUAUUUUAGAGAAGUACCCACUGGCCAGACUUGAGGGUCUCUGUAGAAAUGCAAGUAAUGUUUUUGAUGUACUGCACAUGAUCGCUAAUGAUGUAAUUUUUGCGAAGAAAGUCAUGUUUAGUCUUGAUGGGAUGAUCACAUCAAAAUUUUCAAAUGAUAGUGUCACGUUUGACCUCAUUAUUAUGCGGCCAAACCAUUUAGCAGAAGUGACGGUGGAUUUAAGUUCAUGGCAGAGCGUGUCUUCUUCCUCGGUUUCUGUUAAAAAUUUAAUUGGAACAAUAAGGGAACAAAAAAUCAGAAGUUUCUUCGAGGAGUGUGAGAAAGAUGAAGACUGUAUUCGACAAUUCUGGCUCAAAUGUCAACAGUAUAUGACCAGUCAAUGGUUUACAGCCCCCAAAAUAUGGUAGAUAACGCGUAAAUUACGCAAUUGCAAAAAAAAUCCCGACUGUAAAUGAUAAACUCCUUCUUUAUAUUUGAUUUCAAUAGAUUCAGGGGUGCACAAUAUACUAGAUCACGCGAUAAUUUAUCGCGUGAAAUUGUGGAAGGCCUUCCCGAUUUACGGAAGCGCGAUUACGCGAUAAAUUAUCGCGUGAAAAUGUGGAAGCGUCCCAAAUUUUGUGGAAAUUUUUCUUUCUUUCUUUCUUUUCUUUUCUCGCUCUAAACUUAUAUUACUACUACUACUACUUCGAAUCUCAUAGUUUUGUACCAAAACAUUGUGGAAAAGUUUUCACAUGUGUGGUCGAAAUACUGUGGAAGGUUUUCCGUUUCCGGUUUCCACAAUUUUUACGGAAUUAUUGUGGAAAGGCUUUCCACAAUCUUUUACAAAGUUAGAAGGGUUUCCACAAUUCUUACUGAAAUAGUGUGGUAGGGUUUCCACAAUUUUCCACAGAAUAUAGACCCCUGCAUAUCUCAAUUCUUCCAUCUAAUCUUGUAUCUAAAAUUCUAAAUACGUUUUUAUUGCGUUACCACUAAUACUUGCGUUCGGUACAAGUCAACAACCCUCCUCGUUCCAAAUUCCCAAAAAAAAAAAAAAAAAAAAAAAAAAAAAAAAAAAAAAAAAAAAAAAAGUCAUCACUUUUUGUGGAAGGGGUUACGAAAAUGUGGAAAUUUUUUCAAUUUUUUGUGGAAGAGGAAAAGCUUAUCGCACGAAAUUGUGGAAGCAUAGUAAAAUGUGCACCCCUGAAUAGAUUAAUUUAGCGGCUUCAUGAUUUUAUGCAUGUUGCUGUUUCAUGGUUCCAGUGUAAACAGUUACAUAAUCUCAUUACAUUUGUGCCAAAGUGAUUGAAUGCGCCUAAGUGUUUCUCUCAGUCAAAAUUUCUCAAAUUUAAGGGAUUAUGAGUUGAUUUAUAAAUUAUUAAUGUCAAAUUCGGAAGAAGCUGACAUAAUAAAUACUCGGUAGUGUUUAGACUAGAGAUUAUGUUUCACUUUUCAUAUUUUGAACAUUGAACAUUGAACAUCUAUUUAUUAAUAUGCAGAAUAUCAAGAAUGAUGUAGCCACUGAAUCAGUCAAUACAAGUAACAAGUUCCUAUCCAUUCUUUUUAGUGGAGACAUGAAAGUCUUAAUUUUUUAACAUAAAAAGCACAGAGGCCACCUCACUAUCUAGGACUACCUACUACCCUUAAGCUAAAUUAUUGUGUUUAGUUUUACAUUAUUAAGCGCUCAGCCGCUUUCUGAUUUUGUGUGCCUCACUCCCAAGUGCUGAGCUAACAGUCAGCCCACAUUCAUUCUAGUGUAACAAAUGUACACUCUUCCCCUGUUCAAGUAACAUAAAUUGACAUGAUACCAGUUGAGCAGACCAAUGAGGAUAUAAUAAGGCAGAAUCGACAUAGUUUCCAAGUUCUUGCCGAGGCUGAGAUGGAACUACCGGAAGCGUUUUGUUUUUGUAGAUUUUGGGUGCUUGAAUAAAGGAAGAGUGAACCUCUCUUUCACUUACCUGGCGUUAAAAAAUCUGAUUUCCUCAGGAUCCAAAAAUGAUUCAGAAAUCUUAUACUAAACCUUGCAAAAAAUGAAAUCACUGUCACGGCAUUCCUCCAAAAAACUUUCGUAAUUUCGUAAAUAGUACUAUAACUUACUUGGAGGCAACAUUCAAAAUUAUAAAAGUUUCUUUUCGUACUUACUUCAGCUGUUCUGUUGUUUGAAUUUGCAAAAGGGGCUGCUCAUAUAAAAUGUAAUGUUCUAAGGGAGAGAUGGGGGUUAAGGAGUAGAUCACACCAUUUUUUAUUAUGUAUUAAAAGAUAGGAUCUUGCGUCACAAAAGCAUCGCGUCGAAAAAUUCGAAAUUUAGGAAUUCGUAUUUUAUGAAUAGCCCCUUAAGGUCCAAUUGUUGAAAUAAAUUGAAUUUGUUUCCCCCCACAAUGAAGAUGGUAUAGUUUUAAAUAAUUUUGUUUGUAACAAUUCUUAUAGGGCCAGAGAAAUAUCCCCUAUGACAUAGUGGGAACCUGCAACUCCUCACAAAUGACCAAAGAAACACCAUCAUUAAAUUUCUGGGACUUCUACUUAAGCAAUCAGUCAUAGAAAAAAGUGCUGAUUUCCAGAGUUCCAAAGACCAGAAAAAAAUUUCCCCUUCCCCUAAAAUUGAAGGGAAGCCCAAUUUUUCAGAGCCAUCUUAAUUUUUUUGUAACCAAAUCAACUUUUUGCAUACGCUGUUUUGCUUUGCAUGUCUAUAUCGUUCUUGAAUCUUCUUGUUCUUGUGCUGUGCCACCACACCGUAAACAGUGCGUUGAGAGUGGUCCUGCUGAUUUGCGAUCGCAAGUUUGAUAAAAUCAACAGGGUGUGUCAACUUUUCUAGGCACCAAAGCCCCAUAUGUAGGUGCAUGGCCCCAGGGGAAGGCAGAACUCUGCUGAUCCUCUUUGUAAAUAUGUAUCAACUGUGAAUUUCUUGCAGGUUUUUAUUGAGAGACACAGUUGCCCUCAUCCCCUUUCCCACUGUAGAUAAAAAAUUUAGAAGUCCUUCAAAAACUUCCCCUUGAGAUUAAUGGAGAUUGUAUUAUCAUCGAUGGUAAAGAGAGAGUUUAAAGAGGUGAGAACAAGACCCCUUUUAGGAUACCCAACAUUUUGAAAUUCAUGUUUUCUAUAAGUAAUAUACGGAAUUUUUCCCCACGAUCUUAAUCUUUCUACUAUGAAUCUACACUCAAAUCUGUUUUUAAGUCUUCUCCAAGUAAUUUCGAUCACAUUAUAAGACCCUUCCAUUGGUGUGUCGGAAUCUCUUUACUGCAAAGAAUAUUUUCUACUAUAGUUGUAUUUUUCUUUUAAUUCUUCAUGUAAACACUGUCGUUUUGCCUAAAAAUAUAAAUAGGUUUCCAAUUCAACCUUUUGUAAUAUGUUUUUUCCCCCUUAUGAGUCUGCAUCCCCAAUAAAUGGCCAUUUUUGGUUGUUACUGUCACAAACAAAACAUACAUCUUUAUUGGCGACUCAAAGUGAUUUUGCUAGAUGUUACAUCGUGAAAUUUGAGAAUACUAAUUGUGAGUGGAAAUAAAGCAUCUCAAUCUUUCGGGGCAAAAACAGUUGGAUUGCAUUUUGCAAAAAGGAACCAAGAGCAUUUCAAUGUUGCUAAGAUUGUGCAACUCUUUUUACCUUGCAAAUAUAAACUGAUCAUCUAAACAAGUUUAUAUCUUUACUCCCUAUCAACUAUAAAUUCAAGACGAAAAUUAUCUUGGUCUAUUACAUUUUUUGCACGAUUCCAGUAAUUUCAUUGCAAAGAUGUAAGUUGCACAAUCCUAGCAACAUAGGAAUGCUCUUGGUUCCUUUUUGCGGAAUGCCAUGCAGUGCGGGUUGACUGUGCUUUGAUCUAAUGGCGAAAUUCUGAGCUAUGGUCAAUAGAUGUCAUGUUCUCAAUCCAAUAAAAAUGGUCCGAAGAAAAAGAAAAAAAAAGAAAAAAAAAAGUUACAAGUAGAUUGUGAAAAUACUUGGAAAUGUGAAGAAAAUAAUGGUACAUUUAAAAAAUGUAUUUACAAUUAAAAUACAGUUGAUAAAAAUUAACAAAACAUUAUUUAAAUGACUGUACAAAAGUAAAAAUUACAAAUAAUUGUGGCAAGAAGGUGCCUCAAAUAAACAACGAUCAGAUGACAGAAAAAUGCUCCAUAUCAAGACACUCCUCGCGCAGAGGACAGAUUAUAACUGAUAGACGUUCACAAUUUAUAAUUUUGAGAGAAAAGCUAGGGGCUUUAUCACCAGUGCAGAGUAACUCCCAAGGGUUGAUGAGGUUGAAUUUUAAGAGCAUGAAAUCUUUUCUUGAAAUCUGAAUCGAGGACAGGAGAUUCGAAAUUGAGUUGCUACAUUUGAAGAUCAACAGCAGAAUAUACUGAUAGCAAGAAAAAACCUUAGUUGAAUCAUUAUUAAAGUUAGUCAAACUUCCAGUUGUCUAAAAAUGUUGAGUAUUCAGAAACAUAGGACACCAAAGGAUGAAAAAUUGAGAUUAGGAAUCUUUUUUUACCUCAUUUAAAUCACAAGAAUUUUAGACCCUUCAGGCUGGUACGUUGGUAGGUAGAUAAAUUGUAGCAUUAUUGAGUAUCAAGGUACAUGUAAAUAUCUGAAAGUUCAAUAGAAAACUGAAUCAAUGACAAAUUAGUUUCUGUCAGUCAAUUAACAAUUGUAAAGUAGUAUUCAUACUCAAAAAAAAA
rnacentral:lncRNA from 1 species